UAAAGAUUCGGAUGACAUUUAUUAAAUACAAAAAAGGUAUCAGGAAGAAAUUCCCUAAUGGCAAAAUGAGUAGCCUAAUAAUUAAAACAUUUACAACUUGGACCACGUAGGCUAAACGAUGGAGCAGCGUCAUGGUUUCCCCUGUUAGUCAAUGUUGUUAUGAAAACACUUUUGAUACAAGAUUAAAAGAUGGGGUUGCUUUUGAGGCACAGCAUUUGAUUAAUAUUUAGUUUUGAGUCACAGAGUUGGAUUAAUAUUUAGUACACAUAAAUGUAUCUAAACGUGCAUUAAAGUUAAGGUCACUUGGGUUUUUUCAUACGACAAAAGCAAUACCAUAAGCUAUUGCAUUGAUUUUUUUUCAGAAUUUAUAUUUCUGAACAUUCCCUUUGAAUACAAAAAUAAAUACUAGUAAUACAGUGGCCUUAUAUUCCAUAACCUUAAAUACAGCAUGAAAUAAAAUAAACUUCCUGGAGAGCUACAAUUAAAUUCAGUUUAGUUACGAUUUUGAGUCAUGAACUCCAUAAUAAGCUUCUGUUUUGUGGCUGCAACCUUUAUCCAAAAUCUUUAUUUGAGUGGAGUUUACCGUUUUACUAUAAUCGCAUAAAUUCCUAAUUUAACUUCCUAAAUCCGGUAAAACAUAAUUGAUGUAACUUCAUAAUACUGUAGCGUGUGGCAAUAGAACCUACACUUACAUAAAACAUACAUAAGCAAAAUAUAUAAACCUCAAGAUGUUAUAAUUUAAGUUAGCUCUCAUUAUGUAGUCUAUCAGACCAGAGGAAUAGUAGAAUAAAGGUUAAUUCAAGGGGCCAGGGGCCAAACCGCUCAUUUUCUCAUGAUGUGUAAUAAAUAGCUCUUAACUGCGGAGAUCUAUUGCUUUCAAGCAGCCCUUGGCUCACAAUGUGGUAUGUCUCCAAGUUAUUGGAGCGAUGUUUCUGUGCAUGAUAAUGAAUGCCUCAAAUGCAUGGCGUUAUUCAAAGCUGGCAGAUUAUCUUUAAAAGUGACUUAUAUUGGGGUCCGGCUUCUCACACUAGAACUUCUAGCCAUGGUAGUUAAUAAUGGCUUUCAGAAAUGCGUGCCUGAAUGUGUGAUGUACUGAUGGUUGUGUGUGGUUCGGUGUGUAAUACUGAAAGUGUUCCUGUAUAUAUGCUCGUCUCGAUGGAUGGUGACUGGGAACUCGUCCUGGCACUUAUGCAUAUUAGAAUUCAUGGCAAAUUCAUGAAUUGUAAGGAAAAAUAAAAAAUAAAACACAAGCUGCUGACAUUUGAUCGAUAGAUCAAUAGACUGUUAUUGCAUUCUUUGGGAGGGAAAAAUAAAAUUCCCUUUGUCAUGUUUUUUGUUUCCCCUCCAUUAUUAGUUCUCCACUCUGUCCUGUCCUGCAUAAACACUUGAGUUAUUCAUUAUUCCAACUUCAUUUCCUCAUUACCUGUGACAUCACUUCCCUGAUUAAGAACAACAAGGUAGAGUGUGAGGCACAGCUUAUUAGUCCGAGCACGACACAGCGCCAUGUGUCUCUGAAUAUGUAGGGACCGUGGAUGUCCCCGGAGUCGCUCGGCAGGGAGAGCGAGGCACUCGCGCUGCCGCGGUUGGACGCGCCGCUCCGCUGGAGAGCUGUAGGUCAACGGGUGGAGUAUGGCACAAGUACACCGUAUGUUUUCCAUCUCUGUAAAGCUCAUGACGUAGAGCAUGGCUCUAAAGGUGGUUAGCUCAUUUAGGGUCCCAAGCUGGCGAAUCAGGCAAAAUGUGGAGGAAAGGUAAACUGUUCAUUCAAUAGGUUUGACCUCCACGUGCAUAUUAAUAUAGUGUUAGAUCUUCUUGCUGAACUUGUGCAAAGUAUCCAAGAUGUAAACGACAAGGCGUCCAUAGCGUGUGUGUGUAUGGGCAACGAGAUCCAUACGAGUCACAGUUUGAGCCACCAUGUGGCUGGCAUCCCUAUUCCGUCCUGCCUUUUCCUUUCCCCUCCACUGGGGGUUCAUGUGUCCGGUUCACUUCUUGCUCCACACCACCACUGGGGGACUCAGGAUGUCCAAGUCGAUACCGUGGCUACGUCACUUCCUGUUUACCUGAGUAUCACAACAUACGUUUUCCGUUUCUGAAGCGUGGAUCCUAGUCGUGUCACCCGGAGGCUGGUGAAUUAAGAGCCAGAGAGUUUUUUAGAGCCUUGACUUGCCGAUAAAAACAAAACCUCCCUGGACCAAUGGGAGACGAGUAUGCUGAUGGACCAAUAGGAGUCUCCGUCCUCUGGGGUUUCUGCUCCGCGAGCCCCUCAGCGCCGC
ensembl:lncRNA